rnacentral:rRNA from 1 species
GACGAACCGUGCGAACGUUAUUCGGAAUCACUGGGCUUAAAGCGUGUGUAGGCGGGCGAUCAAGUACCUUGUGAAAUCCCACGGCUCAACCGUGGAACUGCUGGGUAUACUGGUUGUCUUGAGCCAGCUAGGGGCGAGCGGAACAGACGGUGGGCGGUGAAAUGCGUAGAUAUCGUCUGGAACGCCGAAGGUGAAAACAGCUCGCUGGGGCUGCGCUGACGCUGAGACACGAAAGCCAGGGGAGCGAACGGG